AGCCCCUCGUGCGGCGUCAUCUUAUGAACCUCCCCAGGGCCGGAAGGCAGCAAGGAUAAGUAAGCUCUGGCGGGUGCGCGAGGGGUCUUC
rnacentral:SRP_RNA from 1 species